GCAGGAGUGGCGGAAUGGCAGACGCGCAUGGUUCAGGUCCAUGUGUUGGCAACAACAUGAGGGUUCAAGUCCCUUCUCCUGCACUA
rnacentral:tRNA from 7 species